rnacentral:rRNA from 1 species
GAUGAACGCUGGCGGCGUGCUUAACACAUGCAAGUCGAACGAUUAAGACGGCUUCGGCCGUGUAUAGAGUGGCGAACGGGUGAGUAACACGUGACCAACCUGCCCCGCGCUCCGGGACAACCGCUGGAAACGGCGGCUAAUACCGGAUGCUCCGGGGAGGCCCCAUGGCCUCCCCGGGAAAGCCUUAACGGCGCGGGAUGGGGUCGCGGCCCAUUAGGUAGACGGCGGGGUAACGGCCCACCGUGCCCGCGAUGGGUAGCCGGACUGAGAGGUCGACCGGCCACAUUGGGACUGAGAUACGGCCCAGACUCCUACGGGAGGCAGCAGUGGGGAAUUUUGCGCAAUGGGGGGAACCCUGACGCAGCAACGCCGCGUGCGGGACGAAGGCCUUCGGGUUGUAAACCGCUUUCAGCAGGGAAGACAUAGACGGUAC